AGCCAACUCCAUGUACAAUUUGAUCUACUUUCCCUUGUUGGAGACAGCCUCUAAAUUUUGCAAGCUGUCGGCCUUUAAACCUUAAAAGUAUUGGCUGGCUAACUAAUUUCUGGUUUUUGAGUCGGAAUACGCUUUGUAUCUGCUAUAUAUAACUGGACGAGGUUUUGGCGACACAUGCAGAUAACGAGAGAGGUUGAAUUGAGUUUUUUUUUAUAUAAAUUUUGAAUAUUAUACAAUAUAAAACAAUAAAAUUCUUUGAUUUGAUUGUGGUAGCCAUAACCUCUUCUUUGUGUUGAGAACCAAAAACGGUGGGUUGGAUAGAUUUUUAUGGUUUGGCAUGAGAGAGGUGCUAUCAAUCUUAUCCAGAUUCUUAUUCUUCAACAAUCAAACGUUCAACAGUGGCGAUUGUCCGCACUUUUGCCUUUGAGAGGGUACUGCUGAAGUGUGAUAUUAACCGUUGGAUGUAUCUAAAUAUAUAUUCCCAUCAAAUCUAAGGAGAUGAUCAAAUAGUCUCAUGGUGCAGGUUACCGGCGGUGUAUUGUUCGUCUCCGUAGCGCAAAUCAGUUCGUCGCUGACAAAGAGGGAUUGGAGGAGGACGAUAUCGUUAUUGUAGAGGCGUUUACCGGGUAAAGACAACAGAGAAGGCUGUAACCGCCGGACCAGAGUGCGCAAAAGCUCGUUCGCCACCAGCGACGGCGGAGUAAGAGAUGUUAGGGGCAAUUGGGAUGACAGCAGGGGAGGAGGAGAAACCACCACCGGCGCGGUAGCAGAUAAUUCUCUGGUUUAUAAUUUUAACGAAAAUAAAAAAAUAAUUCAACUAAUAUGAGUGUUUAAAUUAUAUUUUUAUUUCAAGUGUUUAAAAUAAAAACUUUUAAAAUUAUUGAUCAUAUGUGUAAUUUAUUUUAAAUUAUAAUUUUUAAAUUAUGACUUUUAUUUUAAAAUGGUCUUCAAAUUUUAAAA